CAGUCGCCACGGUAAUACAGAGGGUGCGAGCGUUAAUCGGAUUUACUGGGCGUAAAGUGUGCGUAGGCGGCUUUUUAAGUCGGAUGUGAAAUCCCUGAGCUUAACUUAGGAAUUGCAUUCGAUACUGGGAAGCUAGAGUAUGGGAGAGGAUGGUAGAAUUCCAGGUGUAGCGGUGAAAUGCGUAGAGAUCUGGAGGAAUACCGAUGGCGAAGGCAGCCAUCUGGCCUAAUACUGACGCUGAGGUACGAAAGCAUGGGGAGCAAACAGGAUUAGAUACCCCAGUAGUCCCUGUCUCUUAUAC
rnacentral:rRNA from 1 species